rnacentral:rRNA from 2 species
CACGACUCUCGGCAACGGAUAUCUAGGCUCUCGCAUCGAUGAAGAACGUAGCAAACUGCGAUAGUUGGUGUGAAUUGCAGAAUCCCGUGAACCAUUGAGUCUUUGAACGCAAGUUGCGCCCGAAGCCAUUAGGCCGAGGGCACGCCUGCCUGGGCGUCAC